rnacentral:rRNA from 1 species
AGCCCGCGGCCUAUCAGCUUUUGGUGGGGUGAUGGCCUACCAAGGCGACGACGGGUAGCCGGCCUGGAGGGCGACCGGCCACACUGGGGCUGAGACACGGCCCAGACUCCUACGGGAGGCAGCAGUGGGGAAUAUUGCACAAUGGGCGGAAGCCUGAUGCAGGACGCCGCGUGAGGGAUGACGGCCUUCGGGUUGUAAACCUCUUUCAGCAGGGAGAAGCUUUUAUCGGUGACGGUACCUGCAGAAGAAGCACCGGCUAACUACGUGCCAGCAGCCGCGGUAAUACGUAGGGUGCGAGCGUUGUCCGGAAUAUUGGGCGUAAAGAGCUCGUAGGCGGCGUGUCACGUCGGAUGUGAAAGCCCGGGGCUAACCCCGGGUCUGCAUUCGAUACGGGCUCGCUAGAGUUCGGUAGGGGAGAUCGGAAUUCCUGGUGUAGCGGUGAAAUGCGCAGAUAUCAGGAGGAACACCGGUGGCGAAGGCGGAUCUCUGGGCCGAUACUGACGCUGAGGAGCGAAAGCGUGGGGAGCGAACAGGAUUGAUACCCUGGUAGUCCACGCCGUAAACGUUGGGAACUAGGUGUGGGCGCAUUCCACGUCGUCCGUGCCGCAGCUAACGCAUUAAGUUCCCCGCCUGGGGAGUACGGCCGCAAGGCUAAAACUCAAAGGAAUUGACGGGGGCCCGCACAAGCGGCGGAGCAUUGGCUUAAUUCGACGCAACGCGAAGAACUUACCAA